GACAGAGGAUGCAAGCGUUAUCCGGAAUGAUUGGGCGUAAAGCGUCUGUAGGUGGCUUUUCAAGUCCGCCGUCAAAUCCCAGGGCUCAACCCUGGACAGGCGGUGGAAACUACGAGGCUGGAGUACGGCAGAGGGGGGUGGAAUUCCACGUGUAGCAGUGAAAUGCGUAGAUAUGUGGAGGAACACCGAUGGCGAAGGCAGCCCCCUGGGCUAGUACUGACGCUCAUGCACGAAAGCGUGGGGAGCAAACAGG
rnacentral:rRNA from 1 species